rnacentral:rRNA from 1 species
CUUUCUUUGCUGGCGACCGGCGCACGGGUGAGUAACACGUAUCCAACCUGCCCUUUACUCGGGGAUAGCCUUUCGAAAGAAAGAUUAAUACCCGAUGGCAUAAUUAGACCGCAUGGUCUUAUUAUUAAAGAAUUUCGGUUAUCGAUGGGGAUGCGUUCCAUUAGGCAGUUGGUGAGGUAACGGCUCACCAAACCUUCGAUGGAUAGGGGUUCUGAGAGGAAGGUCCCCCACAUUGGAACUGAGACACGGUCCAA